CUACCUGACAUCUAUCACUCUAAUUCAUCGAAACUUCUUGGUGUUCUGCUUCCUUGGUAGCCAUCUCCCUUGUGUAAACAUCAGGAGAGCAGAUACUUGGAAGGCUUGAAGGCAGCAAAUGUAGUCGCACAAUGGUCAUCAUGAAUGCAGUAGCAGCAAGAAGUGCCACUAAGACUUUUGAUUGACUGUGCAUAGGGAGGAGAUGAAAAUUAGUUCACUUUGUAGUUUGUAUAUAAUUUAAAGAGUUUAGGGUGAAAUUCUUGUUGCAGGCAUUUUCCUGUAAAACAUAAAUUCAGGGUGAAAACCCACAUAGUUCAGAGUGAAGUUAAGGUUAAGUAAGAAAAUUCUGUGACAUCUUGAAGCAGAAUAAGUGAGAGCUUCUACAACUUUUUGGAAAGGAACCUGAAACGCUGCAUCAUCUCCUGGUUGGGUACGUUGCAACACGUAUCAUUCACCUGGCACGAGAUCCUGUCAUGGUGCUGGCUGACGGUGCUUCCCCCUCCCUACCAGGCCUUGUUUGGUAGAGGUGGUUUGGUAGAGGUGGAUCUAGGAGGUUUAGAGGGACCUCCCUACCAGGCCUUGUUUGGUAGAGGUGGUUUGGUAGAGGUGGAUCUAGGAGGUUUAGAGGGGAGGGGAUUUGGUGAACCCCCUCUUCCACCCCUUCAAAUUCACUUGAAACCCUUCCAAUCACAACCCUCUCCAUACAAAUCAAACAUUUGGUUGGCAGGGAAUGUAAUAUUGUGAAACGUCUAAAAAUGUAAUCUUUUAUCAAGAAAAGCUUGCUACAAAUUUGUAAAGGUCUACAAAUAAAAAUGUGAACUCUACAUGGGAGUAUUUUUGUAGCAACAACACAAUUUUGCAUGAA